GUCGAGAAUAAUUCACAAUGGACGAAAGUCUGAUGGUGCAACGCCGCGUGGAGGAUGACGGUCUUCGGAUUGUAAACUCCUGUCAUCCGGGAGUAAGACCUGGCUGUGAAUAGCAGACAGGGUUGAUAGUACCGGAAGAGGAAGGGACGGCUAACUUCGUGCCAGCAGCCGCGGUAAUACGAAGGUCCCGAGCGUUGUUCGGAAUCACUGGGCGUAAAGGGAGCGUAGGCGGCGUGGUAAGUCAGAUGUGAAAUCGCGGGGCUCAACCCCGGAACUGCAUCCGAUACAGCCGUGCUAGAGGAUUGGAGAGGUAGCUGGAAUUCUUGGUGUAGCAGUGAAAUGCGUGGAGAUCAAGAGGAACACUCGUGGCGAAAGCGAGCUACUGGACAAUAUCUGACGCUGAGGCUCGAAGGCCAGGGUAGCGAAAGGGAUUAGAUACCCUAGUAGUCC
rnacentral:rRNA from 1 species